rnacentral:rRNA from 1 species
GACGAACGCUGGCGGCGUGCUUAACACAUGCAAGUCGAACGGAAAGGCCCUGCUUUUGUGGGGUGCUCGAGUGGCGAACGGGUGAGUAACACGUGAGUAACCUGCCCUUGACUUUGGGAUAACUUCAGGAAACUGGGGCUAAUACUGGAUAGGAGCUCCUGCUGCAUGGUGGGGGUUGGAAAGUUUCGGCGGUUGGGGAUGGACUCGCGGCUUAUCAGCUUGUUGGUGGGGUAGUGGCUUACCAAGGCUUUGACGGGUAGCCGGCCUGAGAGGGUGACCGGCCACAGUGGGACUGAGAUACGGCCCAGACUCCUACGGGAGGCAGCAGUGGGGAAUAGUGCACAAUGGGCGGAAGCCGGAUGCAGCAACGCCGCGUGCGGGAUGACGGCCGUCGGGUUGUAACCCGCGUGCGCCUGGGACGAAGCGUGAGUGACGGUAAUGGGUAAAGAAGCACCGGCUAACUACGUG